CUAGUAACGGCGAGUGAAGCGGCAACAGCUCAAAUUUGAAAUCUGGCCCCCGGGUCCGAGUUGUAAUUUGUAGAGGAUGCUUUUGGUGCGGUACCUUCCGAGUUCCCUGGAACGGGACGCCAUAGAGGGUGAGAGCCCCGUCUGGUUGGACGCCAAUCCUUUGUAAAGCUCCUUCGACGAGUCGAGUAGUUUGGGAAUGCUGCUCUAAAUGGGAGGUAUAUGUCUUCUAAAGCUAAAUAUUGGCCAGAGACCGAUAGCGCACAAGUAGAGUGAUCGAAAGAUGAAAAGCACUUUGAAAAGAGAGUUAAAAAGUACGUGAAAUUGUUGAAAGGGAAGCGCUCAUGACCAGACUUGGGCCCGGUUGAUCAUCCAGGGUUCUCCCUGGUGCACUCUUCCGGCCCAGGCCAGCAUCAGUUCGCUGUGGGGGAUAAAGGCUUCGGGAAUGUGGCUCCUCCGGGAGUGUUAUAGCCCGCUGCGUAAUACCCUGUGGCGGACUGAGGUUCGCGCAUCUGCAAGGAU
rnacentral:rRNA from 1 species